rnacentral:rRNA from 1 species
CCUACGGGAGGCAGCAGUGGGGAAUAUUGGGCAAUGGUCGCAAGCCUGACCCAGCAACGCCGCGUGAAGGAAGAAGGCUUUCGGGUUGUAAACUUCUUUUCUCAGGGACGAAGCAAGUGACGGUACCUGAGGAAUAAGCCACGGCUAACUACGUGCCAGCAGCCGCGGUAAUACGGCGGUGGCAAGCGUUAUCCGGAUUUGCUGGGUGUAAAGGGCGUGUAGGCGGGACUGGAAGUCAGAUGUGAAAACCACGGGCUCAACCUGUGGCCUGCAUUUGAAACUGUAGGUCUUGAGUACUGGAGAGGGAGACGGAAUUCCUAGUGUAGCGGUGAAAUGCGUAGAUAUUAGGAGGAACACCAGUGGCGAAGGCGGUAUGCUGGACAGCAACUGACGCUGAGGCGCGAAAGCGUGGGGAGCAAACAGGAUUAGAUACCCCAGUAGUC